UAAAGUAAAAAUCUAAUUUGUCAACACAUAUUUUGUACAACACAUUGUCAACAAAUAAUGGAUAAAUUAAUGAUAUUGGAAGCUUAAAAAAUUUGGAAUUAGGAAUUCAUUUAUAUUACCAAAAAUGAAAGAAAUGAUAACAAAGUUAUAGACAAACUAUAGAUACCUACGUGUUUCGUGUGUUAUUAUCGGAAAUUAAAAACUCAAUCGCUAUAAUUUUUUCCUAUCACUGUAAAUUUAUUUGUGAAUUUUAAUUUUCAAAUGUUACGUAACGUAAUUAGGUAGGUACGAUCGUCAAGCACCCCACGUCCCCACCAUUUUCCGGUCGUAGUCGCGAUAGCUGACGUUUGUUUUGUUAUUUUUUCUCUCCUCUCUGUCUGUAGCCAAACACACACAGAACCACUAACACGUUUUUUGUUGCGUACGUUUUUCUUUCGUCUUUUUAUUAUUAUUUUCUCGUGAAGUUACCACAAAAAAAUGGAGUACCUAGUCACUCGGAAACAUUUUCCCGUGGCGGUGAACGCUGCCGGGCAAGCCAAGGUGGUCGGUCACGACAGACAUCCCGAAUCCAUUGUAAACAACGAAAAGGUGCCAGUAUAGCAAGCUACACAAAAUUAGCCAAAUUAAUAUCAUAUAAAAAAAACAUAAACUGUUUACCUAUAUAAAGUAAAAAACAUUCAAUUUGGAUUCAAAAUACAAUAGAAAAUAUAAAAAUACAUGGAUUAAAAGGAACUAGAUGUCACUGUUAAAGGUGUCAAUGUAGAAUACAACACAACCUUGUACUGUAAUAUGCGUCCAAACCAAUAAAAACAGUUGAUUGGAAAUUCCAAAAAAAUUUUAAAAUGUUGGAUUCAAAUACUAAAGUAUACUGAAGCAUGCAAUACACUAGUAGUGGAACAAAUUGUCUCCAUUAAAUGUUUAUGUAAGUAAUUCAUAAGUGUUAGAAAAGGAUUUAUUGUACGCAGUUUGUAUUUAAUAAAAUAUUUUAUCCGGUCGAUUUUAAUAAACUAGGUACAUACUAAAGAGGAAUAUGAUUAUUUUUCUACUUUUUUUAUAUUUUUAUUUUUGAAAUAUAAUAUUCAUUCUUAUUCAAAUUACUUAUAUUAGCUUUUUUUUUACAUAAAUAUGUGUUUGGGCUGGAUACACAACAAAAUGUUAAGAAAUGAUUUAAAAAAAAUACAAGUCACAAGUGGUAGGUAAUGUAACAUUAAUUUGAACUCUAUAAUGUAUGCCUAAUAUAUUUUUAGACAACAAAAUGAAGUUCAAAUUCGGAUUACUGUAUUGAGACAGACAUUGAAUAAUUGCAUGUUGAUCAGUUUCUAAAGAGUCUUAACGUACUAAUAUUUUCCUUAUAAAUCUCCAGUUGUGAAGUGCAGUUCUUAGCCCUAAUACUAAACUCAAUAAAUGUAUUGUAUAUAUUGGACAUUAAUGUUAUGGAAUACCUUUAAAUGCCAACAUGUUCCCAUACAUUUCAAAUAAAAAACAGCGUGACCGUUUACUUUGGAGUUUUGGACUACUAAAUAAACCUUAAGCAGUCUAUAGUCAAUAUGAGUAUUUGACUAGACUGUCAUUCGGACGAUGUUAUACGAACCCCGCACCGCCGCCUCUGUGAAUGAUACACGUCGCGCGUAAUGCGCUGUGGCGGCGACCAACCAAAUUAUGCUCUUCGCCAUGAACAAUAAAUUAGAGCUUAUCCAGAUUCAGAAUAUUAUAUUUUGUAUAUUUCUGUACGUUUAGCCGUUCUCAAACAUACAGGGAGACAACCACACAAGAUACGAAGUUAAAUAAAAACCUUGAAAUACUAUAUACAACUGUAGGUACAACUGGUACAAGUCAAAAGAUAUAACUUAAUGUUGGUAGGUAUUCAUUGCAUUAAGUUUAUUGUUGUAUUAUUGUGGUCGAAAUAAUGAAAAAUAUUUUUGUAAAAAUCCGAAGUCAACAAAAUGAUUAUUUAUCGAGAGUUGGUGAAUAGCCACAUGACGUCAUAGAGCCCGCCGACAAGUGAGCAGCCGCCCAUGUUUUACGUGUAAAAGUAGUUUGAUUUACAUAAUGAUUUUAAUAACUUACGAUAUAUAUAUUUUAUAUAUUAUAUAUAUAUAUGUAACUAUAGAUACAAAAAAAUCGGACUUAAAAGUACUUGAAAAUUUUUGGUUGUUUUAAAGCCCGAUAGAUAACCAAUCUGCUUGCGAGUUCCCAUCUGCACAAUAUUUCUCCCUAUAUUUCUGAUCGAUUAAUAUCUUAUAUUAUUAUAUUUAUUUAAAUUUUGUAUCUAUAUAAUCGCCAAAAAGCAUAUAUUUAUUACUAAAACAAUAUUAUAUAAAGAUUGUACCUAAACAUUAAUACAUUAUUUUAUUAAUAUCAACUUAAAUAAAUUUAACACAAAAUAAUUCUAUCUGAUGAUUAUUAAUACCCGGAUUUAUACUAUUGAGCUCGUACCUGCCUACUAAUUUCGGCACUCAAAUGUUAAUAACGUUUUAUAACGAUCGUUUUAUGUGGAAAUAUUACACCACUUCGAGAAAAGAUGAUUUUAUUAAAGAAAGAUUUCCGAAAGUUUACAAAUAUUAUGCUCUUAUAUGACGUUCUGUCUAAUUUAUUGAUGAUAGUCAGCACUGUACUGCUCGUCUAGCAGGGGACACAGAUUCUGCCUGUAUAUAGACCAAAAGGGUUGUGUCAGCACAUUCCCAUCCUCGCUGGGUGAUCAGUUCAUUGAGUUUUUGUGCAUGAUGAAAUAUUAUAUUAUAAUAAAUAACGCUUAAUAGGUAUACUACAUUAAACAUAUUAUUAUAACAUAACAUUACUACAGUAUUACAUGAUUAGCAGUGGUUUCUAACAAUACCUACUGUUCACGCCGAAACAAUUAGUUUAUCGCGGGACACGACUCAGCGUGACUGCGACAUCUCCCUCCUUGUCCAUACUCCAUUCCGUCAUUUAAUUAUUUAAAUUAUUAUGAUUGUUAUGUGUAUUUAUUAUCUUUGCUUUCGCUUUCUGUGUGAAUAAUUAUUGGUCAACGUUUGCCUCAUAUUAUUAUCAUUUAUUCGUAUCAUUAUUAUUAUGUUAAGAUUUGUAUUUCUUACUUUUUGCGGCCAACGCCCUUGUUGUUAUAAAUUAUUAUUGCUGUUAACUCAUAUUAUAUAUAUUCUCGUUUCAGCUAUUGCAGCGCACACCUUUUUUACGUCUGUUACGUUUUUGGUUUAGUAUCCUUUUGGUACACACACAAAGUUAUGUGGUUAUUAAUAUUAUUGUAAAACCUGUACCGUGUGGUUCAUGUAACUAGACAUUUAUUAUUUUUUUGUAUUGUCAUUGUGACAAGAACUCACGUCGUUAAUGAAUCGACAUCACGGAUCGUUGCGUAAGUCCGCCAGCAACGGGUACGUUGUGUGAGGGGCCGUCUAGGACAUCGAGACCAGCGUCAUCCUGGAAUUUCCGUCAACUCAUGACACCAGCUGUAUAAUAUAUGUAUUAUGUAUAUAUAUAUACCUAGUACAUUAAGUUAGUCAUUAAGCUACCCAACUAUUAUAAUUGUACCAGUUGGUCAUUGCAUCAAACCAGAUCGACCACAGCCCCCCCCCCCCGUCCCCAUAAUUAACUUGCAUUGUCCUGAUUACCAUGUACUUCACCUCCCAUCCUUGCCAUAGUGUCGUCGUCGCAUGAGGUGUUUAGAUUAUACUUUAUAUGUUAGGUUUUGUUGUGACUUCCUGUCGGGUUUGGUCAAGAGCUUAAGGCAGACCUUUUUCUCGUCGCUGGUCACGGGGUUACACAGUGAAGUUCUUAUAUAAUUAUAUCUAAUCUACAGUCCACUUUCCUAUAUUAUGUUUUGAGCACUGCGUGUAUGCUGGCAGUCCUGUAAAGUAUUUAAAUAAAAGU